AUGCACCUGUUGACAGCCAUGAAGCACUGAUCGUGGCUUUCUGGUUUAUUUUUGAAGGUGCAAGAUCAAUUUCCUCGCGCUUUCUGCUUGUUCUUUGAAUGACAGGUUGGAUUGAAUAGAGGAAAACAGUU